GACGAACGCUGGCGGCGUGCUUAACACAUGCAAGUCGAACGGAAAGGCCCUGCUUUUGUGGGGUGCUCGAGUGGCGAACGGGUGAGUAACACGUGAGUAACCUGCCCUUGACUUUGGGAUAACUUCAGGAAACUGGGGCUAAUACCGGAUAGGAUCUCCUGCUGCAUGGUGGGGGUUGGAAAGUUUCGGCGGGUGGGGAUGGACUCGCGGCUUAUCAGCUAGUUGGUGGGGUAGUGGCUUACCAAGGCUUUGACGGGUAGCCGGCAUGGGAGGGUGGACGGCGACAUUAGGACUAAGAGACGGCGCAGACUCCUACGGGAGGCAGCGGGGGGAAAUAUUGCACAAUGAGCGGAAGCCUGAGGAGGCGACGCCGCGGGCGGGAUGACGGCCUUCGGGUUGUAAACAGCUUUCGCCUGUGACGAAGCGUGAGUGACGGUAAUGGGUAAAGAAGCACCGGCUAACUACGUG
rnacentral:rRNA from 1 species